GACGAACGCUGGCGGCGUGCUUAACACAUGCAAGUCGAACGGAAAGGCCCUGCUUUUUUGGGGUGCUCGAGUGGCGAACGGGUGAGUAACACGUGAGUAACCUGCCCUUGACUUUGGGAUAACUUCAGGAAACUGGGGCUAAUACCGGAUAGGAGCUCCUGCUGCAUGGUGGGGGUUGGAAAGUUUCGGCGGUUGGGGAUGGACGCGCGGCUUAUCAGCUUGUUGGUGGGGUAGUGGCUUACCAAGGCUUUGACGGGUAGCCGGCCUGAGAGGGUGACCGGCCACAUUGGGACUGAGAUACGGCCCAGACUCCUACGGGAGGCAGCAGUGGGGAAUAUUGCACAAUGGGCGGAAGCCUGAUGCAGCAACGCCGCGUGCGGGAUGACGGCCUUCGGGUUGUAAACCGCUUUCGCCUGUGACGAAGCGUGAGUGACGGUAAUGGGUAAAGAAGCACCGGCUAACUACGUG
rnacentral:rRNA from 1 species